UAGAACCGGCAGCUGAUUUCAAGCAGUUACAGGCAGCCUGACGAUCCGGCGUGGUGGUGGCGGCAGCAAGAAGCUUCUUCACUCCUGCACAGCAUGGCGGUGGAGGACUGGCAUUAUUAGGAGCUUGAAGAUAAGUAAGGCAUGGAGCCAAAUCACCGGAUACAGUUCCACAUGACAAAGCAGCUUCUGCCAUAAGCUUGAAGAUAAGUAAGGCAUGGAGCCAAAUCACCGGAUACAGUUCCACAUGACAAAGCAGCUUCUGCCAUAGGCGCAAUAACUACCAUGCACAUCACCAAAGCAACACAUGCUAAUUUCAUGCUUCUUGCCAUUUUUGUUUUCUUUGUUUUCUAUUCUUUUUCUUAGUUUGUUUGAAUGGUGUGUAAUGUCUUUGUGGGAGGGGGUUUAUAUAGAAAAUAAGAUAAGGUGUGAAGAUGAAUAGAGUGAUGAAUUUUUGGUGAAUGUGCAUCAAAAUUGGGUGGUAGUUGUGAGUUCAAUUAAUGAUGUAUGGUCCAUUAUCUAUAAUUAUUGGAAUUGGAUCUCUACAAUUUUUUCUUCUCAUGUCUUCUCUCAUGUGCAAUUAUGCAUGGUUGAAUCAAUCUAAUAGUUAAAAAAUAAUAAAGAUAAAAAAAUAUCAUUUAAAAAAAUAGAGAAACAUAUGUUUAAUUUUAUUUAAUUUUUUUUCAUUUAUAAUUAGAGAAUACAAAAUAUCAUCGAAAAGACGACAACACUCAUAUAAUUUGUUGUUUCAUACGCUGUUUUUUUUUCAUUUUAAUAUCUUUAUUAAAUAAAUAUUUUUAUUUGAUAAUAAUUAAAAUAUUUAUAUAUAUAUAUANNNNNNNNNNNNNNNNNNNNNNNNNNNNNNNNNNNNNNNNNNNNNNNNNNNNNNNNNNNNNNNNNNNNNNNNNNNNNNNNNNNNNNNNNNNNNNNNNNNNNNNNNNNNNNNNNNNNNNNNNNNNNNNNNNNNNNNNNNNNNNNNNNNNNNNNNNNNNNNNNNNNNNNNNNNNNNNNNNNNNNNNNNNNNNNNNNNNNNNNNNNNNNNNNNNNNNNNNNNNNNNNNNNNNNNNNNNNNNNNNNNNNNNNNNNNNNNNNNNNNNNNNNNNNNNNNNNNNNNNNNNNNNNNNNNNNNNNNNNNNNNNNNNNNNNNNNNNNNNNNNNNNNNNNNNNNNNNNNNNNNNNNNNNNNNNNNNNNNNNNNNNNNNNNNNNNNNNNNNNNNNNNNNNNNNNNNNNNNNNNNNNNNNNNNNNNNNNNNNNNNNNNNNNNNNNNNNNNNNNNNNNNNNNNNNNNNNNNNNNNNNNNNNNNNNNNNNNNNNNNNNNNNNNNNNNNNNNNNNNNNNNNNNNNNNNNNNNNNNNNNNNNNNNNNNNNNNNNNNNNNNNNNNNNNNNNNNNNNNNNNNNNNNNNNNNNNNNNNNNNNNNNNNNNNNNNNNNNNNNNNNNNNNNNNNNNNNNNNNNNNNNNNNNNNNNNNNNNNNNNNNNNNNNNNNNNNNNNNNNNNNNNNNNNNNNNNNNNNNNNNNNNNNNNNNNNNNNNNNNNNNNNNNNNNNNNNNNNNNNNNNNNNNNNNNNNNNNNNNNNNNNNNNNNNNNNNNNNNNNNNNNNNNNNNNNNNNNNNNNNNNNNNNNNNNNNNNNNNNNNNNNNNNNNNNNNNNNNNNNNNNNNNNNNNNNNNNNNNNNNNNNNNNNNNNNNNNNNNNNNNNNNNNNNNNNNNNNNNNNNNNNNNNNNNNNNNNNNNNNNNNNNNNNNNNNNNNNNNNNNNNNNNNNNNNNNNNNNNNNNNNNNNNNNNNNNNNNNNNNNNNNNNNNNNNNNNNNNNNNNNNNNNNNNUUAAUUUUUAUGGGUUUAAAAAUAAAAAUCAAAUUUAUUUCAAUAUCCAACUGAUGAAAUUAACUAACGGUAUAAAAUUCUUUUACAUUGUUAGUGUAUAUCAAUUAAGAGUGUUUAAUUGUAUUGUUUUUGUUGAAUUUCAAUAGUUAUUUCAACCGAUGCUGAAGCUUCUCAAGAUACAAUGUUUGUGUGUAGAAGUUGAAAGGAAAAUUUGAUCAUUGGUGGAUUCCAUAACAUCCGUAAUGGGAUAUAUCAAUUCUCUUUGAGGUCGGAAGCUGAAGAUUGUUCAUUAUAUAUGAAAAUUGUGAGUUGCAAGUUUGGAAUAAAUGGCAAGUUUAAUCAUCCCAUUAGAUGGAAAAAUCAUGUUAUUUUUUGUUAUGUUGGUUUCAAUUAAAAUUUGCUUUUCAUGUAUAUCUCUUUAGAUAUGACAUUCUUAAAAUUCAUGAUUUAAACUAUAUUUAUACUUACGAUAAUAACAGUUCCAUUCUGGUUGAACUGUUUGUGCCUCAGUUUAAUUUUGCAGUUCAAUGAGUUCAAUGACUUCCUUAACAACACUCUUGAUUUUAAAGAUAAUGUCAAAGAUAGAGGGAUGCUAUGGUGGACUAAGUUUAAAACUUUUAAAGAAAAUAGCAGAAAUUGAUUAUUUUCCAUGUAAUAAUAAAACAAAAUAUUUAAAAUAUUUUUUAGUUUAUGUGAUUAAUAUAGAUUUUUAUUUAUAUUUUAUUUAUUUAUAAACCUAUCAUUAUUAAAAAUUAUUAUACAUUAUUGAGUAAUCACAAUACUAUUUAUUAAGAGUUAUUAAGAAUCAUUAUUUUUUAUAAUUAUAUUUUUUAAUCUCUUAAUAAUACUAUUUUUUUAGACUAAUGUUAAUAUAUGCCCCAAAAACAUAAGUUAAUGACUUAUUUGUAAAAAUAUUCUCUUAGAAUACGUGCAUUUAAUUUUUUAAAAUUUAAAAUAUUAUUUUAUUUCACAUAAAUUUUUUAUUUGUAGUAUCCUUAACUUAUACCUGAAAGACACAAGUUAGCAAGACCCUAUUUUUUAAUUAUUAUAUAAUUAAUCUUAAUAAAUCUACUAUCAUAAUCAGAUAGUAGAUGACCACCAAUAAAUUAAAUCCAAACUUAAACUAAGUUAAUUGUAAGUUCCACUUACUUUAAUUGUUUUGUUUUUUUCAUUUAUAAAUAUUUUCAUUUACCAAUGCUUAUUAAAUGAAAAUAAUUUAAUUAAAUAUCUUAUUUAAUUGAAACAAUUCAAAUAUUAAAUAUAAAUAUAUUCACACAACUAAUUGCAAUAAUAACAUCUUCUAAUAAACACAAAUAUACAUGUUUUUACAUUUUCCCAAUGACUUAUGUUUGUUCUUUUAUCAUAACCUUUCCUUUUACCAAAUGCAAUAAAUGACCAUUGAUUAUGAGUGAGCAUCUUGAAAACAGUUCCCUCAAUAAACUUCUCCCUAUCCAAUAAAUCCUACGAAUAACAAGUAAUUUAAAAUGUUAAAAGUAUUUUUCUUUGCUUAUUAUUAACAAAUUCAUUAUUAUUAAUUAAUUAUAUUUUAACACGAUACUAUUUUAUUUUUAUCACAAGUUAUCUCUUUUAAUCACCAAUUAUCUCUUUUAUUUUCAAAUGUCAAAAUUUAUUUUCACGGGUCACUAUCAACACAAUACUAUUUUAUUUUAAUCUCAAAAUUUUAUGUAAUAACAAUUACAAAUGAAAGUUCAAAGUUAUGCUCAAGAUAUUGUAAUGGGUUGUUGUACACCUUCUUUCAAAUCUUCAACCUUCUUUUAUAGAGGUAUAAAAAGAGUUGUUUGGGGGGUUUGAACAUAAGAGAGCAAAUUCAGUGAAGAAACAUGCCAAGAGAGACGUUGGAGAAUGUAUAUGGUUAGAAGAAUUUUCCACUAAAUAAUGGAACUAUUCACAACACCUUUUGAAGUACUGGGUAUCUACCAAAAUGUAGAACAAACUAAAGAGGUUACAUCACCAUUCCUUGAGUCUUGUAAAAUGAAACCCUAGUUUACACUGUCUAGAAAUCUGGGCUUUGACACGACUAGUCUGCUUUGGUACAAUGUACGCAUCAGAGGCUUUUCAAGUCUUCAGAGUCUGAGCUGUCAGCAAAGGAUGGGACACAUGACCAAAGUCUAAACCUUCAGAGACUGAUCAACACACUAAGAGUUAUUAGAUUUUGAUCAAUCGAAAUCAGAGUUAUAUUGCUUCUCCACAUAUGCUUUCAACAUGAUUAAUUUAGAAUGAAUUCUUUGUUUGUGAUCCUGCACACUUGAACAUAUGUUAGUAUAUUCAUUUGUUCCUUAAAAACUUUGUUAUCAUCAAAAUCCAAGGGAUAUUAACAUUCUUGUUCCAACAAUCUCCCCAUUUUUGAUAAUGACAAACUAAUGUAUUUAAGAACAAUGGUGGUCAAUUUAACUAACUUGACAACAUCAGAGUUUAAGGUUUGUAAGCUCCCCUUGAGUCUAAUAGCCCAUAGGUUAAGUUUUGUAAGCUCCCCCUAAGUCAUAUCCAAGUUAAUUUAAAAUUAUUUUAAUAAAAUAAUGUUCAAAUCAAAUCAAUAUCCAAAUAAAUAAGGGUCAGGUAAAUUAAAAGCAUUUCGAAAAAAAUAACUUUAAUCCUUUUAAAUAUUCCCAUAAAUUUCUCCCCAUUUUUUCAUCAACAAAAUGUGAGAACAUACAUGUGAGUAUAGAAGAAAACAAAAAAAUAUUUUAGGAAUGGAAAAAUAUGUGGUAAAAAUUGAAUUCUGAUAACACAUAGCAAGAACAACCUUUGCUCUUCUCAAUAAAGAGAAACAACUAUAAUGGUUAGAAUAUUUCUGCAUUUCUCAAGAUGGUCACACGUCAUUCAAGAAUAUCAACCAUCAGAAGUAACCAUUGCAGGCAUUAAAUCAUCUGAAGUUUCAUCUUCCAAUUACAACAUACAAGUCACUCAACCUCUUCUAUAAAAGCAUACCUUCAUAGACAUACUUCUCAUUUUUUCAACCAAUUAUUCUUAUCUUCAUAACAACAUGAUUUAUCCAUCAGAGAAGACUAAGAGCAUUAUCUGAAUAAAGAUCAAUGAUGAGGGUAAAAUUGUUACUAUGGAACAACACCUUUAGCAGUCCACUGAGGAGGCCUAGCCAUCUAGGUCAGCUGCUAAAAGGGGUGCCCUAAUGUAAUACCUCAAAAUUUGUCCCCCUCAUUCAUGCAUUCAUUUUUAGAUCAUUUAACAUUUCAUAUUGCAUUGCAUCGUAUCAAUCAGAAUCAGAUCCAAGAAGUUUGAAUAUCAUCCGAGACACUUUGUGGGUUCUAAUUGGGUGAUCAGUCAACACAAGGGAAUGACUUGAGUUACUUCCAACAUGUUCAAAUGGAGUCUAUUCACCAUUCAAAACACUAAUCUCGAAGGAGCAAAAAGCAGAGCCUGAACUGUCAUGCUCGCUAGGCGAGCAGAUCCUUCGCUAGGCGAAGUGCACGCGUUUUGAAAUAUAACAGAAACGUUUUGGGCUUGAGUUGCCUUCAUUUUGAGCCCACAAAGUCACAAAAAUUAGGCUAUAUAUUCUAGACUUCCAUAUCCCAAAAGGACACCGGAGAGAAUUAGAAAAAACCCUGGAAAAGAAUAGUGAGAGAAGAGCUAACAGAGUUCAGAGCAGCCCCAGAGACUGAAAGGAACUCAUCUGCAAAGAGCCAAUUCCAUCUCAUAUAAACCCUCAGAUUACUUUGCAAACCCAACCGGGCAAUUCAAUUUCAUUCGAUCCCUCCAAUCAGGUUUGCCCUAUUUCCAUUACUAUAUGCUUUCAAUUUGAAUGCUCUGAAUGUAUGAGGUAUUAUCGUUAGACUUUGCCCACGGGUUUAAAUAUGCAUGAAUGUGUAAACAAUACCUUGAAUGUUUAAUCGUUUCGUUUCUGAUGGAUACCAUAGGGUUUGGGUUGCCGAGAUCGAACUAUUAUCAAUGAAGAACCCAAAACCCGCAGGCGUUCGCUAGCACCUUCGCUAAGCCUUCGCUAGGCGAAGCAGUAGCGAGCGUGACAACAUUUGUUUUUUUUUCUGUUUUCUCUAAUCCGUUUUGUGUUCGUCAUGGCAUGUUUUCUCCUGAUUACCCCAUCGUGUUUCUCUAACCUGUUUGUUGAGUUUUUGUGAGGGCUCACAUGCUCUUGCAGGGAUAGCUUGCUUGGUAUUCCACUUUAUUUGUGGGAUACCACUUGGAGGUUUAUUCCGAUUACCUAUGCUGACUUGCUUUCUUUGAUGGUGCCAGCUUGAGAGAUCUCCGGGUUUCUUGUCUCUUUAGUUGCUGUUACUUCGGAUCUUUAUCCGUGUGGUACUUUUACAUCUUUCCCGCAUUUUACCGCUUUCUUAGCUGGAAGACCUCAAUAGGAGGNUCCCUGCAAUUCAGAGUUUGCCUCAUUUCCAUCUACUAUAUGCUUUCAAUUUGAAUCUCAUGAACUGUUCAUGCUUAUUGUAUUAUUCGUUAGACUUUGCCCACCGGUUAAAUAUGCAUGAAUAUGUUAAACAAUACCUUGAAUGUUAAUCGUUUCGUUUCUGCAUGGGAUAUCACAUAGCGGUUUGGGUUGCCGAGAUCGAACUAUUUAUCAAUGAAAGUGAACCCAAACGCCGACAGGCGUUCGCUAGCACCUUCGCCUAAGCCCUUCGCUAGGCGAAGCGCAAGCGUAGCCGAGCGCUGACAACAUGCUUUGUUUUUUUUCUGUUAUUCUCUAAUCCGUUUAGUGUUUCGUUCAUGGAUGUUUCUUUGCCCUGUCAAUCCUAAACCCCAUCGCCUGUUUCUCUUAAUCCUUGUAUGUUCGAUUUUAGUGGUCUCUCGAGGAAUGCGACAUGUGUUCAUAUGCAGGCAAUGCGAAAUUUAGUCAUUGCCUUUGGCUAUAUCAUUUAUUUGUGGGCAUUACUACUUGUGACUGUUCUACCUCAAAAACGGCAUUACCUGAUUGUCCUACAAUGACCUUGCUUUCUUUUUAUAGCGACUGCAAAGCCUUUGCACGAGAUGCGUCCGGACGUAAUUGCUUAGAGUGUUCUUCCUCUUUUAGUUGCCUGUUAUACGUCGGUAUCUUUGAUGCCGAUGUCGAUUUACUUUUACAUUCUUUCCCGAUUUUACGUCUUGUCCUUAACUGAGGAAAGUGACGCCUCCAAUAGAGCAAUAAUUUCUUAUUUUUUUGUUUUGCUUAUCCUCCUUAUGUGCAACAUAAGAUCUGCCAUGCCAGAAUUGCGAAAGUGGGACGUAUACAAUAUAGUGAAGGAUUAUUAAUCAUCCCCCGUUAUCUCAGCCUUGUGUCGCUUUUUCUAUUUAGAAUGCUUCAGACAACUACGUGUCGAUGCUCAGAACAAAAGCCCAAGAUUUUGUUCUAACAAUCCGGGUUACUUAGGCUCAGUCGUGGAUGUAGUGUCUGGCUUUCCCAACUGUUCUGAAUCCCCGAACACCUUUAUAGUCAUGCAGCUCACCGUAUCGCUCUAUGUUAAGAGCUAUGAGGUCUUAUGCUCACUUACACCGUUUUGAAUCUGCUCCCUAGACGUUCGCAAUGUCAGGUGGUUCAGAACGGCCAUUUGAUGUACUAUUCCAUGGCUGUUGCGAGGUUGAUAUGACCCGUUUUCGCUAGGAUCUAAUAGCCACUAUACCUCAUGUACUCGUUUCCUCUGUGGCCCGGUGUUGGCGUUGUCUUGAUUGCCAUAUUUUUUGGGCAUGGUGUGAUCGUCUUCCCCAUUAUGGAUUUGCUAGGGCUUCGAUUAGUGAUGGCUUCUCGUUGCGGCCCAUGUCAAUUUAUACAUGUGAGUAAGGAAUUCACCACCUGUUCCAUUGUUCUUAGGACCUUCUCCUUUAUUAUGUCACAUGAAGCAUUCCUACACUAGACUCCAACAAACAGACAAAGGCUCAUUUGAUAUUUCCCAUUAUUAUCCUACCUUAUAAGAACACUCAUUGUAGUAAUAUCCUUCUAUACUAGCAGGAUGACGAAGUAUAGCUUUCUCAAAGGUCGGAACGACACACCGGUUAGUAAAUCUUGACGUUAGUAAUGUCUCGUGUCUUGUCCAUUCUCAAAAAAACACUAAAGCCCACUUACCCGUAGUAGGGUGUCUGACCGAACUACGGCUUGCUCUGAUUCUCAUUCCAUGAGGCUCGAGAUACGUAGGCAUAAGAACGCGAUGGUGUCUUUAGCGAGCUUCACUUAACCCACUAGGUAAGCCAGCUUACGAAGACUCUGAUUGCUCAUGUUCAGAUGCAGCCAUACGAUGCGCAGUGUAUGCGACAUCCAAGUUGUCGCAUCGAUUAUAUUCAUAAUUGCCCCCCUUUUUAGUAAAUAGUUAACAUUACGAUAACCUACACUCUUUAGACAAGAACAACAAAGUGGAUCCUUAGGAUACUCGCGCCGGUCCAGGGGUGCUAAAUAUCCGUUCCUUAACGCAUAGAUCGAGCUCGCCGGAAACCCAAGAUUGAAGGUUGACGCGAGACAACCUUGUCUUUUCUGUUUGCUUCUUGUUCUAGGUUCAUUACACUCUUGAGUCGUCUUUUCCUCCUUUGAGUAUGAAAAUAACGACUUCCUUAGAGGUGUGCGCACAUACUUCUGUUCAUCAUCUUUACGUACGCCGGUUGAUAUUUUUUUCUGACCAUUUCUACCUUCUUCUUAUUCACAGUUGCGACGUAGGCGUGGCAGAUAAUUCGCGCUUGAGGGGACUACUCUUCCCUAGGAAGAAUCCCGGCUUCCUAGUCGUUUUGUUUGAUCGUGGGGUUUUUUUUUUUAUUAUCUAUUUCAUAUUAUCAUAAUUCUUUAUCAAUGUUAUGGUCAACCAAAGCUAAUCCAUAAAAAAUGUUUUUUUUGGGGGCGGACCGGGAAGGAGUGGGGGGGGGUCAGGCGUCAGGAGGGGGCGGGCGGGGGUGGGGCGACACUACGCCCGGGGCGCUGUGUUCCUAAUAAUUUGGUUUUUUGUUCGCCCACCGCCCCAGUUGGCUCGGUGUUAUUUAUUUAUGCUUUGCAUACUUAUCUGGUGUGUUGCAUCCUAUUGCGCUUUUACUGUCGUGUGUAGUGUGCUGGCUGUGUUUGUGUGUUGUCCCUGUCGGUGUUGGGGUCACAGAGGCUAAAGGCCCAAUACACAGGCCUAUCAGGGACUUUAGGACAUCUAGGAUAGAGUGAUACAUGGGAACGCGGAGUUAUGGCCGCCAAGCGCGAACAUGGUAUCAAGCAGCCAGUUCAAAUUCUGAUGGGUUUAUCGUUGCAUACCACCUGGGUAUGCAUAUGUCAGUAUUCUUGAAAGGAUUGUUUAUCCUACGUUCUCUUGACUCUUACCCUGCGCCUAGAUUACACCCGUGAGUGGGGCGGGAUGAAUCAUUUUACAGGUACUGAUGGGACUUGUUCUGUUGGUGCCGUCUCGCUGAUAGUGAUUUUGUGUGGGUCCUUGUGGUGACCGUUACGCUUCUCGAAGUAUGGGUUGCUAAAUUGAAUGACUGUGUUCUUGUUCCCGGUUCGAAUCAUGCUGAAGUUCUGAUCUGUGCCUCGUGAUAUACAACCAACCGUUUUCUGGAGCCAAAGUUUUGAUCUACGUAGUACAUUCUUCAGUGGGUUUCUCUUCAGACAGUGCAACCCAACAGAUAUUCAAGCAGAUACAACAACCUUGAUUUGCAUGUCACUGCAUUGCAUCACAUCAUUCGCAUUCAUAUCAUUCACACAUGUUUAUCCAUUUAUGUGGGGUUUAUAUCCUCUUCUUGAUUCUAGUCGGGGUUUUUCUGGUACUUUUUAAAAGGGAUAUUUUAUCUGAUGAAAGACUGGAAUCAAGGGGGUAGAAUACCUGUGGAACUGAUAAACAUGUCAUUGCAUUUGCAUAUUCAUUAGCAUGUCUUGCAUAACAGGUACCGUCGCAGUGUUCUCAGUUUGUUAGGUAUUCCACUGGUAGGAUAGUUGACUUAGGCAUUCACUGAUACGGUACCCGAAGGAAUCAACGAUGAAGAUGGGGAUAGUGAUUGCGACAUCGAUAACUGGUUGCGUCUGAGGAUCCCGGGUGAAGUUCUCCGCAACUGGUCUUCUGAAGAGAUUAUCCAAGUCACUCUUCUUGAAGAGUAAUUUUCUUUGUUUAUUCAUGCAUAUCCAAGUCUUACGUUCCGCCCAGAGCGUAAUGACUCAUUGUAGGGCUCAUCUAUGCGAAUACCUGCAUUUUUUAUCAUCAAUAAAGGACGUCUUUUUGCAUUCAAAUAUUUCGUUCACUGUUUUCCAUUUUUGCAGUUUUCAAAAAUCAAAAAAUAUUUGGCAAUGUUUUGUUUAGUUUUCAUUUUUUCACACUCAUAAGCACAUACCAUCACUCAUGCAGAUGCGCAUCACCGGAUCCUAUUGAUAACGAUUCUGCUAUGGCUCGCUUCGACUUUGAAAAUCCAAUCUUUCAAGCUGAAGAAGGGGGUGAUGAAGACUGUGAACUCCCUGAAGAACUUACCAGGCUAUUAAAACAGGAAGAAAGGGUCAUUCAACCGCAUCAAGAGUCUGUGGAAGUGAUUAAUCUCGACACCGAGGACGUCAAGAGAGAAAUCAAGAUAGGGGCGUCUUUGGAAGAUAAUGUGAAGAAGGGGUUGAUUGAAUUGCUGCAAGAGUAUGUUGACAUCUUUGCUUGGUCUUAUCAGGACAUGCCAGGGCUUGACAUAGAUAUUGUGGUACACCGUUUGCCUCUCAAAGAAGGUUGUCCUCCGGUCAAGCAGAAGCUAAGAAGAACAAGACCAGAGAUGGCUGUCAAGAUAAAGGAAGAAGUGCAGAAACAGUUGGAUGCAGGGUUCCUAGAAAUGCAAACAUUGUUCUAGUACCUAAGAAGGAUGGAAAGGUACGGAUGUGUGUCGACUACCGGGAUCUGAACAGAGCUAGCCCUAAAGAUGAUUUCCCAUUACCUCACAUCGAUGUUUUGAUAAAGAACACAACUCAGUUCUCGGUAUUCUCCUUCAUGGAUGGCUUUUCUGGCUAUAAUCAAAUUAAGAUGGCACCAGAAGACAUGGAGAAGACAACUUUCAUAACCCCAUGGGGCACCUUCUGCUACAAGGUGAUGCCGUUUGGUCUGAAAAAUGCCGGAGCAACAUAUCAGCGAGCGAUGGUGACUCUGUUCCAUGAUAUGAUUCAUCAUGAAAUCGAGGUUUAUGUGGACGAUAUGAUUGCCAAAUCUCAGACAGAAGAAGAACAUUUGGUGAAUUUGCAGAAACUGUUUGAGCGUUUGAGGAAAUUCAAACUGAGACUUAAUCCGAACAAGUGCACUUUCGGGGUGAGAUCGGGAAAAUUGUUGGGUUUUAUUGUUAGCGGAAAAGGGAUUGAGGUGGAUCCUGACAAAGUGAAAGCAAUACAGGAAAUGCCUGAGCCAAGAACAGAGAAGCAAGUCCGUAGUUUCUUAGGGAGGUUGAACUACAUUGCAAGGUUCAUCUCUCACCUAACAGCCACGUGUGAGCCAAUAUUCAAAUUGUUGAGAAAAGAUCAGGCUAUCAGGUGGAAUGAUGAUUGUCAAAGGGCGUUCGAGAAGAUAAAAGAGUAUUUGCAGAAUCCUCCUAUCCUUGUGCCUCCGGUCCCAGGGAGACCGCUGAUUAUGUAUUUGACAGUACUAGACAAUUCCAUGGGUUGUGUUCUCGGUCAACACGACGAGACAGGUAGGAAAGAGCAUGCCAUCUACUACCUGAGUAAGAAAUUCACAGAUUGCGAGUCGAGAUACUCAAUGCUUGAAAAAACAUGUUGUGCACUUGCAUGGGCUGCUAAGCGAUUGAGACAAUACAUGCUGUCUCACACAACCUUACUGAUCUCCAAGAUGGAUCCAGUCAAGUAUAUAUUUGAGAAGCCAGCUCUCACCGGAAGAGUUGCUCGUUGGCAAAUGGUACUGACAGAGUACGACAUCCAGUAUACAUCCCAGAAAGCCAUCAAGGGGAGUAUUCUGUCAGACUAUCUUGCUCAACAGCCGGUUGAAGAUUAUGAGCCGAUGAAGUUUGAUUUUCCAGAUGAAGACAUCAUGUUCCUCAAGAUGAAAGACUGUGAAGAGCCAGUUGUUGAGGAGGGACCUGAUCCAGACGAAAAGUGGACUUUAAUGUUUGAUGGGGCCGUCAAUGCCAAAGGAAGUGGAAUUGGUGUUGUCAUUACCACUCCGAAAGGUGCCCACAUGCCUUUCACCGCUCGUCUGACUUUUGAGUGCACCAAUAAUGAAGCUGAGUAUGAAGCCUGUAUCUUGGGUAUUGAGCAAGCCAUUGAUUUGAGAAUCAAGACUUUGGACAUCUUCGGAGAUUCAGCUCUGGUAAUCAAUCAAGUGAAUGGUGAUUGGAACACUCUCCAGCCUACUCUGGUCCCCUACAGAGAUUACACGAGAAGACUGUUGACUUUCUUCACAACAGUAAAGCUGUACCAUAUACCUCGUGAUGAGAACCAGAUGGCAGAUGCUCUUGCUACUCUAUCCUCCAUGAUCAAGGUGAUCCGUUGGAACCAUGCUCCCAAGAUCGACGUGAUGCGCCUUGAUAGGGCCGCGUAUGUGUUUGCUGCUGAACUGGUAGUUGAUGACAAGCCCUGGUAUCACGACAUCAAGUGCUUUCUGAAGAAUCAAGAGUACCCUGCAGGGGCAUCCAACAAUGAUAGAAAGACUUUGAGAAGAUUGGCAGGCAGUUUCUUCUUGAACAAAGACGAUGUGCUGUAUAAGAGGAACUUCGACAUGGUUUUGCUCAGAUGCGUGGACAGACACGAAGCAGACAUGUUAAUGCAGGAAGUUCAUGAAGGCUCCUUCGGUACUCAUGCCGGCGGACAUGCAAUGGCUAAGAAAUUGUUGAGAGCGGGAUAUUACUGGAUGAUCAUGGAAUCUGAUUGUUUCAAAUAUGCUCGGAAGUGCCAUAAAUGCCAGAUUUAUGCUGAUAAGGUACAUGUGCCGCCAAAUCCUUUGAAUGUGAUGUUUUCGCCGUGGCCUUUUGCUAUGUGGGGCAUCGAUAUGAUUGAAAAGAUUGAGCCGACCGCCUCCAAUGGGCACCGCUUCAUCCUUGUUGCCAUCGACUAUUUCACCAAGUGGGUCGAAGCAGCAUCAUUCGCGAAUGUCACCAGACAUGUGGUCGCCCGAUUCAUCAAGAAAGAAAUCAUUUGUCGCUUUGGGAUUCCCGAAAGAACCAUUACUGAUAAUGGUUAUAAUCUCAACAACAAAAUGAUGAAGGAGUUGUGCCAGAACUUCAACAUUCGGCAUCACAAUUCUUCCCCUUACCGCCCUAAGAUGAACGAUGUUGUUGAGGCGGCAAAUAAGAACAUAAAGAAGAUCGUGUAGAAGAUGGUCGUUACAUACAGAGAUUGGCAUGAGAUGCUACCCUUCGCCUUGCAUGGGUACCGUACUUCAGUACGUACGUCGACCGGGGAAACCCCUUACUCCCUCGUGUAUGGUAUGGAAGCAAUCCUACCUGUUGAAGUGGAGAUUCCUUCUCUAAGAGUCCUGUUGGAUGUCAAGUUGGACGAAGUUGAAUGGAUUCGAACAAGGUUCAAUAAGUUGAGUCUUAUCAAAGAGAAGCGAAUGGCAGCCAUUUGUCAUGGGCAGUUGUAUCAGAGUCGGAUGAAGAGAGCCUUUGAUCGAAAAGUGCAUCCUCGGUGUUUACAAGUUGGAGAGUUAGUGUUGAAAAUGAUCCUUCCUCCUCAAACAGAUCACAGGGGCAAGUGGACUCCUAACUAUGAUGGACCGUAUAUUGUCACCAAGAUUUUUGAUGGUGGAGCCUUAAUGCUUGCAACGAUGGAUGGUGAAAACUUCACUUCCCCUGUGAACUCAGACGCAGUUAAAAAAUACUUCGCAUAAAAUAGACCCGCUGGACAGUAAAAAGAAUAGUCCAGGCAAAAAAUGGGCACCGAGAACAAGAAAUGAAAAGUUCGAGCAAAAUUAGGGAUUAAAAUAAAAGAUCGACACCGGUAAGUGAAAACCUGAAAAGGCACUUAGGCAAAGUACCGGUGGAUUGAAAACCCGAAAGGGAUCAGCAAAAGUUAGGGAUUAAGAAUGACUGCGUUCUGAGUAGUUUCUGAAAUCUCAUCUCGUGAAUGACUGAACUUUUGAGGAUAGGAAACAUAAUAUCUUUUAUAAGCUGAUAUAUUGAGAUCUUGAAGCGACAAGUAUAGCUAGAUGGAACCCAUAGAAUCAUUUACAUUGAUUAGAUUAAUUUUGUUUUAUCUUUUGUCGAUACUUUCAGGGAUGGCAUUCUGAUUAAAUGCUAUUUAGAGCGCAGUCAAUCAAUAAAUCAUGUCAUUCAGUACAUACUGUGUCCAUUUUCAUUUUAUGUUUCUGUUGUGCCAAAAAUGACGUGAAUUUUGAUAACUAUUGCAUACAUGAAACAUAAGAGCUUAAGGUACAGAUGCUUAAUAGAACAUUUAAAUUUCUGUAAAUUCUAAAGUGCUUCGGAAUAUCUAUACAUCAACUCGGGGCAUUACUUAGUUCCAUCGAUGAUGCGACAGUUUUCCCCUAACAGUCGAAGUUGGUAUUUGCCCUGCAGAAUGAUCAGAGCAUUGGAUUCUUCGAUCCCCAAGGGCCUCACUGUUGUACCUCCCCCAAGCGGUUGUUCAGAAUAUACAUCCCAGUAGUUUGACGGUGCCCAGAAUAUAUAUCCCCAGCGAUUGAACAGUGCCAGACUGUAUCUUGCACGAGAGCGGCUGUCCUGCAGGGUUCGAUGCCAGAUCGAUGAUCUCGACGCCAGAUCCAUGGUCUCUUUUCUUGAAGCAGAAUCUCGGUACCGUAUCGGUGUUGCUCCCCUGCUAAGGGUUCUCUCUCGGCAAUUAUUGGUUUGCCAGAACAUUACGCUUCCCCAACAGCAGGUUUUCAGUGCCCGUUCUCUCCUAGUUCAGAGUCUUGGUAUUCACAUUGCUAGAACUACUGUGUGGCGGAUAUUUCCAAGAGUUCUUGUGCUAGCAUCUCCAACAGCGCUCUGUCAGGGCAGGAAGUGGUGAUCAUUUCCCCGCAGAUUCCCUUGCUCAGCUUGGCAUUCUACAAGUAUUUACCAUCCUUGCAUGUAGAUCAAAUUGCAUUUUGCAUCUCCCAAAUCGGUAGAUUUCAUUUUCCAUGGAGCAUUACGCCAUUUGAGAAAAAUUCAAAACGCAUGUAAGCAUAAAACAUUCGUAUGCCCAAGUGAUAAGCCAGAAGUUGUUUCCAGUACUCAGACUGAAGAUUGUUCAUGACUUACCUUUAUUAUCCCCAGCAAGUGUCAUUGGCCCAUGCGCCGCCUCUAUUAUCUUUCCCUAUUUAUGCCGAUGCCGACAGGCAUGAAGUUUCCGAUAUUCAGACCGAAGUGGCGUUCAGGCCAAGUUUCCGGUAUUCAGACCGAAGUGACGUUCAAGCCAGUUUUCCGAUAUUCAGAUCGAAGAAGUUUCUGACGUUCAGGCCAGUUUUCCGAUGUUCAGAUCGAAAAAGUUUCCGACGUUCAAGUCGAUGCAACUUGUGGCAUUCAGGCCAAUUUUCCGAUAUUCAGAUCGAAGUGGCAUUCAGGCCAAUUUUCCGAUAUUCAGAUCGAAGUGGCAUUCAGGCCAAUUUUCCGAUAUUUAGAUCGAAGUGGCAUUCAGGCCAGUUUUCCGAUGUUCAGAUCGAAGCUGUUUCCGACAUUCAGGUCGACGCAACUUGUGGCAUUCAGGCCAGCCUCUCGGUGUUCAGACCGAUAUUAUCAACCUCAUAUCUUCCAAUGUUCAGAUCAAAGUCAUUUCCAGUAUUCAGACUGAUGAGCGGCAUUCAAGCCAUGGUUAUUUCUGUGUUACCAUUUAUUUUGGUAUCCAGGUUAACAUUCUUUUUCGGUAUUCAGACUGACUCUCCACCGUUACCAGACGGAUUCUUCUUUCAAGACCACCUCUUUGCGAUUCUGACAGGCAUUGUUACUUCACUUCACUUCAGUGCAAAUUUUCGGGCUUUUAUUGUAUUCAAUCCCUUGAUACCUCGAAAGUGCGAAAGCCGCUGCUAUCUUCUUUUCGGGUCUCCAGUUGAUUGAAUAGGGGCAACUGUAAUACCUCAAAAUUUGCCCCCCUCAUUCAUGCAUUCAUUUUUAGAUCAUUUAACAUUUCAUAUUGCAUUGCAUCGUAUCAAUCAGAAUCAGAUCCAAGAAGCUUGAAUAUCAUCCGAGACACUUUGUGGGUUCUAAUUGGGUGAUCAGUCAACACAAGGGAAUGACUUGAGUUACUUCCAACAUGUUCAAAUGGGGUCUAUUCACCAUUCAAAAUGCUAAUCUCGAAGGAGCAAAAAGCAGAGCCUGAGCUAUCAUGCUCGCUAGGCGAGCAGCAUGGUUCGCUAAGCGAAGCUGAACUGUCAUGCUCGCUAGGCGAGCAGAUCCUUCGCUAGGCGAAGUGCACGCGUUUUGAAAUAUAACAGAAAAGUUUUGGGCUUGAGUUGCCUUCAUUUUGAGCCCACAAAGUCACAAAAAUUAGGCUAUAUAUUCUAGACUUCCAUAUCCCAAAAGGACACCGGAGAGAAUUAGAAAAAACCCUGGAAAAGAAUAGUGAGAGAAGAGCUAACAGAGUUUAGAGCAGCCCCAGAGACUGAAAGAAACUCAUCUGCAAAGAGCCAAUUCCAUCUCAUAUAAACCCUCAGAUUACUUUGCAAACCCAACCGGGCAAUUUAAUUUCAUUCGAUCCCUCCGAUCAGGUUUGCCCUAUUUCCAUUACUAUAUGCUUUCAAUUUGAAUGCUCUGAAUGUAUAAGGUAUUAUCGUUAGACUUUGCCCACGGGUUUAGAUAUGCAUGAAUAUGUAAACAUUACCUUGAAUGUUUAAUCGUUUCGUUUCUGAGGGAUAUCAUAGGGUUUGGGUUGCCGAGAUCGAACUGUUAUCAAUGAAGAACCCAAAACCCGCAGGCGUUCGCUAGCACCUUCGCUAGGAGAGCCUGCAGCGAAGCUUCGCUAAGCCUUCGCUAGGCGAAGCAGUAGUGAGCGUGACAGCAUUUUUUUUGUUUUUUGUUUGCUCUAAUCUGUUUUGUGUUCGUCAUGGCAUGUUUUCUCCUGAUUACCCCAUCGUGUUUCUCUAACCUGUUUGUUGAGUUUUUGUGAGGGCUCACAUGCUCUUGCAGGGAUAGCUUGCUUGGUAUUCCACUUUAUUUGUGGGAUACCACUUGGAGGUUUAUUCCGAUUACCUGUGCUGACUUGCUUUCUUUGAUGGUGCCAGCUUGAGAGAUCUCCGGGUUUCUUGUCUCUUUAGUCGCUGUUACUUCGGAUCUUUAUCCGUAUGGUACUUUUACAUCUUUCCCACAUUUUACCGCUUUCUUAGCUGGAAGACCUCAAUAGGAGGCAAUGUUUUCUUUUGUUUGUUUACUUUUGUGCCCAAAGACCUCCAUGCAGAGGAAAUUGACGGAUAAAAGGGAUUAUUAAUCAUUCCCCCGUUAUUCAGUGUGUCGUUCUUUAUGCUCACACUACGUGUCGACGCUUCAGAACAAAAGCCCAAGAUCUUUUGUCCGGUCAGUCAGUGGAUAGGGUUCCACCUUUCUGAAUCCCCACUUUUUGUCAUGAGCUCACCCUGUCCAGGGUUAAGAGCUAUGAGGUCUUAUCCUCAUUAUCCUUUUGAUCUGCUCACCCUGACGUUCAACGUCAGUGGUUAAGAGCCCAUUUGAUUACCUAUUCCAUGGCUUGUUUGUCGAGGUUGAUACGACCCCUCUUGACUAAAGCCCUACCCAUGUAUGUUUGAGCCCCCUUGUUGGCGUGUUUGCUUUAUGCAUAUUUAUUUUGUAUGGUGUGAUCGUCUCCCGAUAGGAUUGCUUGGCUUUGUAUAGUCUCUCGUUGCAUGUUAAUUAAGGUAGCAUUGUUCCUUCGUUUAUGACUUCCUUUUUGCAUGAGCAUUCCUAAAACACAAACAAACUCAUUGAUUUUUCUUCUCCUAAGAACACGUUAACUCCUUCUACUACAGGCGAGUAAGUAUCCAAAGGUCGAGCAUCCGGUAGAUUGCAUAGUAACGUCGUUCAUCUAAAAAACACAAUCCUUAACCCGUAGGUAGCCGAACUACGGCUUGCUCUGAUUCUCAUUCCAGAUGAGAUACGUAGGCAUAAGACGCGAUGUCUUAGCGAGCACACUCCUCUUUAACCCAUAGGUAGAGCUACGAAGACUCUGAUUCUCAUGUUCAGAUGAGAUACGUAUGCAGUGGAUGCGACAUCCGUGCGAGUCAUUUUCUUUUGACCCCCCUUUUAGUAAAUAGUACAUUAGAUAAACCUACACCCUUUAGACAAGAACAACAAAAGUGGAUCCCGUAGAGUACUAUGGAUGCGUAGGGGUGCUAAUACCUUCCCUUCCCAUAAUCGGCUCCCGAACCCAAGAUUUGGUUGCGAGACCUUGUCUUUUCCUUUCCUCUUUUCAGGUUUACUUCGAGCAUUUCCUUUCCCUCCUUUGGGAUAAAUAACCCACGGUGGCGACUCUUCUGUCAUCUCUUUUCUCGUCGGUUGUUUUUUUCGCAUUCCUUUUUUCAGGUUGCGACACCUAAGAGUAAGGAAGCCUGAGAAGAAGAAGAAGAAGAAGAUGAAGAAGAAAAAGAAAAGAGUUCCAAGAAGGAUGUUUUUCUACGACUCAGAUGAAGGAAGUGAGGAGCGUGUUGCUGACUAGGAGGAUUCUUUUGUAGCUAGGGAUUAUUGUUCUGAUCUGGACAAACUUAUGUAACCUCAAAAAUAUUGUACUCUUUCCAAAUGAUUAAUGGAAAAAAUUCCCUUUUUGCAAUGAUUUUUCUAAUUAAUUGUUUCAUUUGAAUGCGUUAAUCGUUCAAGAGAUAUUCAAAAAUAAUUAAUCCAAAGAAUAAUACAAAGAAAGCAAGGAUUAUUUCUAACAAUUAUCAGAUAAGGAAUAAUAUUUCCCAUAAAAUAUAGCUUAGAGAAAAUCACAUAAGCAUAAAAAAUAUAUCAUGUUGUCAUACCCUAAUUUUUAACCCUAAGAUCCCACAUAUCAUUUGCAUCCUUGUAUAUAAACAAGAUCACAUCUUUGUCCCCUCCCUCUCAUCCUUUGGGUUUGCCUUUUGUAAGGAUCAUCAAGCACCUAUUUGUUGGUGUUUUACCUUUGUGCUUAUAUAUUCAUUACUUAUUUAACCACUAAUCAAAAUAGCAAAAAAAAUAUGUCUUGUUUCCUUUAAAUUUAUUGUGCAAGGUAAGACUUUUCAUUAAGAGCAUCAAGCAUGACUCCUCAGCUUGGGUUUUGUUGAUUCCUCGAGUCAAAGUGUGUUCAAACAUUGAUUAUCAAGGUGAUAUCUAUCAAAGCAUGAUCUCUAAUAUCCUCAAGCAUCUUUCAAUCUCAUUUGGAUCAAGAGCAACUCAAAGUCUCGUUGCUUAUUUAUCAAGAAAAGUCAAAGGUUCAUGUGUUUAUUUCCUUCUUCAACAAGUUACCUCAAAAUUUGAGAAAUUUAAUCAAGAUGAAUUCAAGGAAACCUUAUUUUGAGUUCAUAUGAUCAUCCAUGUACCUUUAAAUGCAAGAAAGGUCUAAGUACACAAGUUUAUUCCAAGAGGUUUGACUAAAAAGUCAACAUCUGAAGUCAAAGUUCAAAGGAUCACAACUCCUUCAAUUCUCAAUAUUUUUGAAUGCUUUUUUUUUGCAUAUGAUUCUUAUCAUUAUACUUUAAAACUUAUCUUUACAUGACAAAAUCCAAUUAUUCUUGGAGGAUCAUCAAAUGUUUGGAGACAUUAUAAGUCAUUUGUGGACUUGGUGAAAUUUGACCUAUUUUCAAGUGACUUUUUCUCAACUCUCAAGGAUUACAAAUCUUUCAAUUUUUAACAUUUGAGGUUGAUUAUUUUUGCACAAUAUCAUUUUUGAUGCCCUCUACAAGUUUUAUUCAAGGAUAGAAGUAAAACUAUGCUUGGAACGCCAUGGAAUUCUUUGAGACAUUAUAGGUCAUUUUCAUCCAUUUGGGACUUAGAUUUUGCUAAGUUACAUUACCAGAUUUUCGUGCCAACUUCAACGUGUCACAACUUUGUGCUCAAGCAUCCAAAUGAGACCUUUCUUGGAAUAUUGUAAUCUUUUAUAUGAUGCCAACAAAUUGCAAGAAGAAUGGGAUCAAAGAGCCUCCUGAGCAAGAUGCCCCAGUGAGUUAAACAUGGUGACUUAGAACUAAAAAAAUCACCAUGAUCCAAAUUUUGAACUUCACUAAUCUCAAUUGCAAGCCAAGUUACCAUGCAUUUUGGACCUAAACAUGUUCAAUCAAGUCUCCGAAAGUUAAUUGACUCUUAAAACACAUCAUUUGGAUGAGUUUUGAUGGUUUGCAAGUCACACUUUUCUUACAUUCUGAUCAAAUUCGUUUUGCACGAAUUGAGUAUCAUUUCACAUGUAUUUGGAUCCCAACACAUUCCCUGUAAAUAGAGCAACAUGCUUGUUUCAUUCCUAAGCUUUUGAGAGCCAAGAAACCCCUGUUUCACUAUGAAAUUUUUCCAAAAAAUUGAGCUAUGGUGUUUUGAAUUCCAACUUGUUUCAAUCCAAUUUCUUGAUUCCAUUAGCAUCUUCGGUCUUCUAUGAAGCUUUUGCAACAAUUCUCAAGCUCUGAGACCUUCUAAAGUGACCUUCUAAAGUAUCAUUUGGACAAGAUAAUUAUGAGCAUCAUUUAAACUCAAACAAGUUACCACAAUGUAGUCCUCCUCUCUUUGAUACUUUCCCCUAACUUAUCUGGUGUUGAUUGAUCAUGUUCAUUAUUUAAUUUUAUUCUUCGUGGCUUGCUUGUUUAUGAAACUUCUCUGAAAUUCUCCAUACUCAGAUUAGAUAAAUGAAUUUUGGAGCAUGCAGUUGAAUUCGUGGUGAGGAGGCGAUCACAUUGAUGGUAGUCCCGUACUCUGAAUUUGAAAAACGAUGAAACUUCGGUGAGGGAUCAUCAGGGAAGAUGGCCGGAGUUAUCUCAAGUCAUCUGAGUUUUCUUACACGUUGGCAAUUUGAAAUAUUCUGAUUAAUCCAUUUUGAAUUAGAUCUCGUGUUUUAUCUUGUCUAAUGUUCAUCGUGCACCCUAGCCCGAGGAUUGUUGGAUCUGCCACGUCAAUUAAUGAGGCAAGAUCUAACGCUCAGUGUUUUUUCUGAUUUUAUCUCUUUUUAUUUUUUCAUUUUUAAUUGCAUUUUAUUUUAAAAUUCAUAGUAAAUUUAUUUUUCAUACAAAAAAUCGCAAAAUAAUUUCUAAAAUUAUCUUUUAUUUUUCUUCAUCUGAUUUUUAUUUUUCCAUAUUUUAUUUUCUUGAUUUCCUAUUUUUCUCAAAUUUUCUCUUUUCUCAUUUGUUUUAAUUGGUUUAAAAAUACUUUUAGGCAUUUAAAUUUUCUGAAAAAUUUAUUUUAUGUCUCUUAUUUUAUUUCCAACCUUCCAUAAUUUUCUUGGCCAUUUAUUUGGUGUUUUGAAGGGCUUUAUGGAUUUUCUCUUUUAUUUCCCUUUUAAAAUUCAUUUUAAAAAUAUUAUUAAUGCAUUUUCUUUUAUUUUCUUGUAUUUUAUAUUUGUUUGACCUUUGUUUAUUUCUGUUGGCCUUGGAUCAUGGUUGUUUUGAUCAUAGGUUUCAUCAAAUUUAAUGGAUCUCUGGUGUUGAUGGGGUUAAAACCCUAAUUCACCAAAAUGGAUGAUUGAUUUUGAUGAUGACUUGAUCAAUCCUUUGAUCCAAUUUGGGUUUGGCUUAUCUUCUUCUUCUUUAUCCCGUUCUUCUCUUUUUUUUCUUGAUCAAUUGGAUGGUUUGUGUCCAUCUUGUUCAUGAUGUGUGGAUUGAUAUUUGAUGAACUUUCAUCAUUUCAAAUGUACCUCUUAAUUGAUCAUGGAUCAUUUAAGGUAAUUUUUUAUGAUCUUUUUAAUUUUCCUUCAUGAUUUGAGGACGCUUCGGCCAUAAUGUGACCUUCUUUUGCAUAAUGGUAGCAUGUACUUCUACCCUUAUUUUUCUUCUUCUCAUCUUCCUUUGAGGAAUUUAACAACCAUUUGGGAUUGCCAUGAUCCUUCUUUUUGGAUUACUUAUUUCUUUGUUCCCACAUAUAUCUAUUGUACUUUUUGAUAAACAACCUCAUAUCUUCUUCAUUGGAGUCUUCGUUAUCUUUAGUUUCACAAUCACUAAGCUCAUUAUUUGAGGUUUUUUAACUCAAAGUAUUUAGAGCAAUGGACUUUUUCUCUUCCACCUUGUCUUUACCUUUCUUUUUCUUCAUCUUUUUUUCAUACUUUUUUUCCAUGUUGUUCCAAGAAAGUGAGUUCUUGCUCAUGUUCUUCCAAUUUAUCAAACAAAGUAGUAAAAUCAAGUGCUUUAAGAUCAUCCACUUCUUUAAUCAUGAUGACCUUUGGUUGUCAUUCCCUGUUAAGACAUCCUAAAUCUUAGUUAGUAACAAUAGCAUUGAAGAUAAGAUUACCUAGAGCAUUCAAUCUAUUAAUAAGAUAUGUGAAUCUCUUUUGCAUUUCGGAAAUGGUUUCACCAUACUUCAUACGAAAGAGUUCAAACUCUUGGUUUAAUUUGUAGAUUCUAGCUUGUUUGACUUCAUUAGUUCCCUCAUGGGCAACUUCUAAUGCGUCCCACAUAGAUUUAGCGGUUUCACAAUGAGAAACACGAUAAUAAUCAUCAACACCUAAAGCAGAUAUGAGAUUUUUUUUUGCUUUCCAAUCAUGUGACCAUAACUUUCUAUCAUUAUCAUUCCAUUGACCUUCCAGUCUUGGUAUGAUGAAACCUUCACCAUUGGCCAUUGUAAUUUUUUAGGACCAUUGAUGAUGACGUCCCAUACACCCUUAUCAAUGGAGUUGAUAUGGAUAUGCAUACAAGCUUUCCAAUAGCCAUGAUUUUCACUGGUGAAAUAGGUGCUCUAUUAUACGGCCCUUUAGGUUCAGUAGCCAUUAUCUAAUAAGAAAAUCUUAAGACCAAAAAUAAUUGGAGCUCGUGAUAUCACUUGUUAGACGAUAGACCUAGAUCUAGAGGGGGAGAUGAGAGAGAGUACACAAGAUUGCUUAAGCAGUUCCCAAUCGAACUCACUAUGGUAUGUCUGCGCCUCAAUUCAAAUUCGAAUUAAGUAUUAAAUAAUAAUCUACUUUGCAAUGUAUUUGUACAAGAGAUGUGAAAUUAAAUCCAACAAACCUAACUUUAUUUUUGACUCUAGCACCUCCAAAAACCUUGAUCAAAUAUUGAUCAAGACACAACAAUGCCACUUCAAUUCACGCUUGUUGUGCUACUUCUUGGCACCGGCCUCAUUGUCUCAAGGCUUUCACCGCGACUGAAUUAAUCCCAAGAGAAAAACCUUUUAAACCCAAGAUUUGCAACACAAUCCACCGUUUCACGCUACUUCUUGCACAACACACCUAGUCCAAGGAUUUCACUCGAUCUGAUCUGAAUUGCAUAACUUUGUCCAAAAUCUUCAAACCCUAAAUAUCUUGAAGGAAAAAUCCCACAUCGGUUUUUAUAUUUAAUCCUCAAAGAUCUUAACCCAAUAUUCUCGGUACAAUAACCUAAUUAGACGUUCUCAAUCCUAAUCUAAAUAGGCACAAAAUCAAAAAAGAUAAUAUGUAGUUUGAUUGUGUGUAUGCAUAGUUUGAAUUGAAGAUAAUGAGUUGCUUUGAAUCCUGAUUCAUGUAACGUUUUAAUCACUCUAAAAACCUUACUAGAGAAUGAUGGCAUGUACCUAUGUAUAUAUAUAUAUAUAUAUAUAUAUAUAUAUAUAUAUAGUAUAUUAUAAUAUAUUAUAUAUAUAUACUAUAUUAUAUAUUAUAUAUAUAUAUAUAUAUAUACUAUAUAUAUAUAUAUAUAAUAUUAUAUAUAUAUUAUAUAUAUAUAUAUAUAUAUAAUAUAUUAUAUAUUAUGGUCAUUCUGAAGACUCGGCACGGUGAAGNNNNNNNNNNNNNNNNNNNNNNNNNGGGGGGGAUAUAUCCAAGUAAAAUUUAUUUGAUAACCUUUGAAUAAAAAAUCAUAAGUGUGGAAACUAAGUUUCAAAUUAUUUCUAGAUCAAAAAUCGUCCGAACGCGCACCUACUAUUGAAUGAGCUCAGAUAUCGUAAAGUGUCAAAUGGUAUGUUAAAUCCACAAGUUGAUAACAAAUACUUUAAACAACAAAUUAAUACUCCAUUAUGUAAAGGGUAUAUCCCAAUGAAAUAAGAAACAAAAAACAGAGUUGAGACAAUUUUUCAAAACACUUUGCAUGCGAUCAAUAAAUUUGAUUUUAGUAAUAGUGUUGUAUUUUAGACAAUACAAUCACUACAAAUGUAUAUGAAUUACUACAACAAUACAAAUUUAACAAAUGCUUCAAAAAUUAUCAUCCAAACAACUGUUGAUAAGGGAUCAAAGUAAUCAAUAAUUUGCGAAACAAAAAAUAAAAGAUAUAUAUAUAUACUAUAUUAUAUAUAUAUAUAUAUAUAUAUAUAUAUAUAUAUAAUAUAUAAUAUAUAUAUAUAUAUAUAUCAUAUAUAUAAUAUAUAUAUAUAAUAUAUAUAUAUAUCUAUAUAUAUAUAUAUAUAGUAUAUAUAUAUAUAUAAUAUAUAUUAUAUUAUUAUAACGAUACGAGAGAGAGAGAAGAGAGAGAGAGAGAGUACACACACACCCCAUGGCACGCAUUCAUUAUCGUUAGAGCCGUUAGGAAAGAGUACACACACCUCCUCUUCUCUCUCUCCUCUCUUCUCUACCUAACACAGUAUACUAUAAAAUAUAUAUAUAAUAUAGUAAUAUCUAUAUAUAUAUAUCAUAUAUAGCUAUAAUGAUAAUAUAUUACAUAAUAUAGAUAUAUAAUAACUAUGACUAUAUAAUAUAUAUAUAUAAUAUAUAUAUAUAUAUAUUAUAAUUUAUAUAUAUAUAAAAAAUAUCUUUUAUAUUUGUGUUCGCAAAUUAUUGAUACUUUGAUCCCUUUAUCAACAUUGUUGUUUGAUGAAAUUUUUGAUCAUUUGUAAAUUGUAUUGUUGUAGUAUCAUAUACCAUUUGGUAGGAUUGUAUUCUGAAGAAUCUACAAACACUAUACUAGUAAACUCAAACUUUAUUGAUGCGCAAUGCAAAGUGUUUGAAAAAUUGUCUCAACUAGUUUUUUGUUCUUAUUAUUCAUGGGAUAUACCUUUACUAUAAUGGAUAUUAAAUUUGUUGUUUAAGUAUUGUUAAUCAACUUGUGAUUAUAACAUACAUACACAGCCGUUUACGCAUAUCACAUAUAGUAGGUCGGUCGACGAUUUUGAUCUAGGAAAUAUUUGAAACUUGUUUCCACACUAUUAAUUUUCUAAUAUAAAUUUUCAAAUAAAUUUAGGGAUAUAUCCCCCCCCCCCCCCUUAGAUCUAGGUCUAUCGUCUAACAAGUGAUAUCACGAGCUCCAAUUAUUUUGGUCUUAAGAUUUUCUUAUUAGAUAAUGGCUACUGAACCUAAAGCCGUAUAAUAGAGCACCUAUUUCACCAGUGAAAAUCAUGGCUAUUGAAAGCUUGUAUGCAUACCAUAUCAACUCCAUUGAUAAGGGUGUAUGGGACGUCAUCAUCAAUGUCCAAAAAAUUACAAUGGCCAAUGGUGAAGUUUCAUCAUACCAAGACUGGAGGUCAAUGAAUGAAAUGAAGAAAGUUAUGGUCACAUGAUUGAACAAAAAAAAAUCUCAUAUCUGCUUUAGGUGUUGAUGAUAAUUAUCGUGUUUCUCAUUGUGAAACCGCUAAUCUAUGUGGACGCAUUAGAAGUGCCCAAAGGACUAAUGAAGUCAAACAAGCUAGAAUCUCAAAUUAACCAAGAGUUUGAACUCUUCGUAUGAAGUAGGUGAAACAUUUCCGAAAUGCAAAAGAGAUUCACAUAUCUUAUUAAUAGAUUGAAUGCUCUAGGUAAUUUAUCUUCAAUGCUAUUUUACUAACUAAGAUUUAGGAUGUCUUAACAGGGAAUGACAACCAAAGGUCAUCAUGAUUAAAGAAGUGGAUGACUUAAAGCACUUGAUUUACUACUUUGUUUGAUAAAUUGAAGAACAUGAGCAAGAACACUUCUUGAAACAAUGGAAAAAAAGUAUGAAAAAAGAUGAAGAAAAGAAAGGUAAAGACAAGGUGGAAGAAAAGUCCAUCUGCUCAAAUACUGAGUUAAAAACCUCAAAUAAUGAGCUUAGUGUGAAUAAAGAUAAACGAAGACUCCAAUGAAGAAGAUUGAGGUUGUUUAUCAAAAAGUACAAUAGAUAUAUGUGGAACAAGAAAUAAGUAAUCCAAAAAGAAGGAUCAUGGCAAUCCAAAUGGUUGUUAAUUCCUCAAAGGAAGAUAGAGAAGAAGAAAUAAGGGUAGAAGUACAUGCUACCAUUAUGCAAAGAGAGGAUUAUGCCGAAGCGUCUCAAAUCAUGAAGAAAUUAAAAGAUCAUAAAAAAUUACCUUAAAUGAUCCAUGAUCAAUUAAGAGGUACAUUUGAAAUGAUAAAGUUCAUCAAAUAUCAAUCCACACAUCAUGACACAGAUGGACACAUGAAACGCAUCCAAUGAUCAAAAAAAAAGAGAGAACGGGAUAAAGAAGAAGAAGAUAACCAAACCCAAAUGGAUCAAAGAGAUGAUCAAGUCAUCAUCAAAAUCAAUCAUCCAUUUGGUGAAUUAGGUUUACCCCAUCACACCAGAGAUCCUAAAUUUGAUGAACCUAUGAUCAAAAAACAACCUGAUCAAGCAACAGAAAUAAAACAAAGGUCAAACAAAAUUAAAUACAAGAAAAAAAAAUGCAUUAAUAUAUUUUUAAAAUGAUUUAAAAGGGAAAUAAAAGAGAAAAUCCAUAAAGCCCUUCAAAACAACAACCAUCCUAAAAGAAGCAUGUACAACAACAUAGGCCAAACGAAAACUAUGGAAAGGGUGGAAUAAAAUAGAGCUACAAUAUAACCGACAAUUCUUUCAGAGAAAUUUAAAUGCCUCAUAAAGUAUUUUUAAACACCCAAUUAAAUAUAGAAGAGCGAAAUUGGAGAAAAUGAGAAAAUGGCGAAAUAGGAAUAGAUAAUAGAAAAUAUGGAAAAUAACAGAACUGAAGGAAAAAUAAGAAAGAUUUUAGAAAUGUAUUUUACGAUUUUUGUGUAUGAAAAAUAAAUUCUUACAUUAAUUCUUUAAAAGCAAAAUGCAAUUAAAAAUGAAAAAAAUAAAAGAGAUAAAUCAGAAAAAAUCACUGAGCGUUAUGAUCUUUGCUAUCAUUAAUGACGUGGCAGAUCCAUCUACAUCCUCAGUUGGCUGAGGGUGCAAUGCGAACAUAAGAAUCAAGCAUAAAACUACGAGAUCGUAAUGCAAAAUGGAUUAAUCGAGCAAUAUUUCAAUUGCCAACGUAGGUAAGAAAAACUCAGAUGACUUGAGAUAACUCCGGCCUUCCUGAUGAAUCCCUCACCGAAGUUCAAUCGUUUUUUUCAAAUUCAGAGUAACGGGAGUGAUACUGAAGCUAUAGUCUUUAAUAUUGCAUCAUACAUGCGACCUAUACCAUCUAUUUGUCGACCUAAAGUUUAAAAAAGUCAUCUAUAAAUUAACCUAUAGUCGUAUGUUUCGACCUGUGAUGAAUAUUUUUCACUUAAAACUAAGUUUAUCAUGCUUAACACAAUAUUUUGAUGCACAAAUAUUUUCCAGACCAUUUACAACAAUGUUGACAUACUUCCUAAUGCAAGAAUGCUAAAGUGCACAACUAGACUCGGAUGAUAUCGUCCAAUGUACAUAAACAUUAUUUCCUAGUUUUGACAUCAUUCAAAACAUAUGUAAACGGAAGAAUGUACUCACAAAGAGUAUUUGUCUCAAGAUCUUUUCUAUACCUCGACUAAGUGUUUAUUACAAAUCAUGCUCUGAUGCAAACUGAAGGUGAGAAAAAUAAAGAAGAAGGGAGACUGAAUUGUGUAUGCCAAAAACUUGUUUCGCUUUUGAUUAUACAAUUUCAUAACCUAAACAACGUUCAAAGUCUGAUAUUAGAAAUAGUAACAUCAACAGAAAUAAUAAUGAUCAGAAGUAAAAACAAGUAACACACAAAUAUUAUCCUGGUUCCUCUCCUAAACUGAGAGAGUCUAGUCCCCUUGCCUCAACAAGAGAUGUUCGCUAUAAUCAACAGAUUACACUUUGCUAAAGCAUACUUGCAAGAGACUUCACUUGCUCAAUCAACUAAGAAAAAGACUUCUGCUCAAGCAACCUUGCAAGAGACUUCUGCUCAAUCAACAUAAAAAUACACUUCACUGCUCAUCUACACAAACAAGGUACUUCUUAGCUCAAGCACGCAGGAAAUGGACUUCUUCUUAUUCAACCUAGAAAGAGACUUCACUACUCAAGUACACAGACAAGAGACUUAUUUUCUCAAGCACGUAUGCAAGAGACUUCCUCUAGUUUAAACAAAUAGUUUAGUAGAAAUGAUAACCACUAUACUUAGAUACACAAUCAGAAGUAUAAUAGUUGGCAACAACCACAAAGAUUUUUAGCCUCUUAAGAUUUCUAAGAUACACAAAGAUAAGAAUCUUAAGAUCUUAUGCAAUAAUAGUUACAAAUGAAAUCUCAGAGUUAUGCUCCAUAUAUUAUAUUGUGUUAUUUGUACACCUUCCUUCAAAUGUUAGCAUGCACAUUCGUUUUUUAAAUACUUUAUCAUCAUCAAAACUCAGGGGAUAUGAACAAUCUUGUUUCAACAUUUUUUCCAUACAUAUAAUUUCUUACACUUGUGUCAAGGUACACUACUACAAAAAAUACAUUUAACCUCAAACGUGAAGUUUAUUUAGCCUCGGUUACAGAUGCGAGGUAACAAAGAGUGUUAUGAAAAGCUGCCACUUUACCCCUCGGUUUUAGAAUAACCGAUGGAAUAGUUGAAAUAGCCAUUGGUUGGAUGCCCAAUACUAGAUUUUUUAUAUUUUCAAAACUAGCGUCAUAUACCUCUCGGUUUAUGAACAAAAUUGAGGGGAAANNNNNNNNNNNNNNNNNNNNNNNNNNNNNNNNNNNNNNNNNNNNNNNNNNNNNNNNNNNNNNNNNNNNNNNNNNNNNNNNNNNNNNNNNNNNNNNNNNNNNNNNNNNNNNNNNNNNNNNNNNNNNNNNNNNNNNNNNNNNNNNNNNNNNNNNNNNNNNNNNNNNNNNNNNNNNNNNNNNNNNNNNNNNNNNNNNNNNNNNNNNNNNNNNNNNNNNNNNNNNNNNNNNNNNNNNNNNNNNNNNNNNNNNNNNNNNNNNNNNNNNNNNNNNNNNNNNNNNNNNNNNNNNNNNNNNNNNNNNNNNNNNNNNNNNNNNNNNNNNNNNNNNNNNNNNNNNNNNNNNNNNNNNNNNNNNNNNNNNNNNNNNNNNNNNNNNNNNNNNNNNNNNNNNNNNNNNNNNNNNNNNNNNNNNNNNNNNNNNNNNNNNNNNNNNNNNNNNNNNNNNNNNNNNNNNNNNNNNNNNNNNNNNNNNNNNNNNNNNNNNNNNNNNNNNNNNNNNNNNNNNNNNNNNNNNNNNNNNNNNNNNNNNNNNNNNNNNNNNNNNNNNNNNNNNNNNNNNNNNNNNNNNNNNNNNNNNNNNNNNNNNNNNNNNNNNNNNNNNNNNNNNNNNNNNNNNNNNNNNNNNNNNNNAUAUAUAUAUAUAUAUAUAUAUAUAUAUAUAUAUAUAUAUAUAUAUAUAUAUAUAUAUAUAUAUAUAUAUAUAUAUAUAUAUAUAUAUAUAUAUAUAUAUAUAUAUACUCAUUACAUUGUUUAUAUAAAAUAUUAAUAAAUUAAUUUGUUUACAAACUAAAGUGUUUAUACAAAAUAUUACAUUGUUUACGCAUAAUAUUAAAGUAAAAAUGUUGAAUCUGAUUCAUCGUCAACAUUGUCGAUAAAGAACAAAUGUUGGAUAUCUUGGGGAAGAGCAAAUGUCGGGGAUCCUCAUUUCAUUGAUAUUGAGAAAGAUAAAAUGUCUGAUAUAAAACAAAAAAAGGUUAAAUAUAGAAAAUAAAUAUUCAAUUAUAUGAUUAUUUAAGAACACAAACAUUGAACCCAGAUAAUUUUUUCCUCUUGCUAUCCAUCAUAUAAAUUUUUUCCUAAACAAAAUAAACAUUUUUUUAAGUUUCAAAGUUUUCAUGUCAAAAGUUUCAUUAUCAAUUUUUAUUAUUCAGAAUGCUUUUAUAAUGAGUAUUUUAUUCGAGUGUUAAUACUCAUUAAAUGGACGAUAGAUAUUUAUUUAAGGUCGAUGAUGAAUCUCAAUAAACACGUUUAUAUUUUCCCUCGAUUAUUAUUUAAAAUCGAGGUAAAAUGAAUUUCUUAUUAAACAAAAAAUACAAUAAAAUAUUUUCUAUUCCAAGCGUCACAUACCUCUCGGUUUCUUGAAAAAACCGAGGGGACAAUCUUUUUUUUAAAUGACAUUGUUUACGUAGAAUAUUAAAAUAAAUUAUUUAAACAAAUUCAGAUUUUGACAAUGGAUUCUUGGAGACCAACAAAUAUUUUCAAAUUUCUGAUAAGUUAUCUAUUCCAACAAAGAUAAUCUUUUUGUACUUGCAUUCCAUCCCAGAGGGAUUUCAGUAUCUUGAAAAAAUAUUUUCAUGGAAAAUACUUUCACAUAAAAGAUUACAAGAUGAUUGUGUUUACGAAUAACUUUCUCAAUAUUGUCAACCAAGAAAAUCAAUAAUUUUCUCAAUGUUUUAUUUGGUUGACAACAUAAGAAGAUUAUUCCAAAAAUAUAGCAACAACAUCAAUACCAUUAUGUUGGGAUGAAUUGCAAUAGUAGAAAAAAAUAUUUUGUUAGAGAUAGAAGAACAUUGUAGAUUUUUUCUGUCUUGCAAUCCAUCCUAAAGAAUGAUGUGUAAAAGUUUGGAGUGGUUAUUACUUAUAAGUUGCUGAGAUUUGAAGCAUGUGAUCUUUAUUAAAAAGUUAAAUCAUGGCACACCUUGAUAUUUUAUCUCGAUUUUUAGUUAGGUGAGGUGAAAGUUUUAUCAUAAAAUAUAUUAUUUGUAAUUGUGGUAUCACAAAUUUUAUUGGAUUCCUUCUUUAUUUUUAUGUGCUAGCAACACUAUUUUAAACUUCUCAUAUUUUUCACAAAAUAUUAAUAAAUUAAUUUGUUUACAAACUACAUUAUUUACACAUAAUAUUAUAUUAUUUACACAUAACAUUAAAGUAAAAAUGUUAAAUCUGAUUCAUCGUCAACGUUAUCGGUAAAGAAUAAAUGUUGGAUAUCUUGGGGAAGAGAAAAUAUCGGGGAUCCUCGUUUCAUUGAUCUUGAGGAAGAUCAAAUGUCUGAUAUAAAAAAAAAGUUAGAUAAAUAAAAUAAAUAUUCAGUUAUAUGAUUAUUUAAUAAUACAAACAUUAAAACCAAAUAAUUUUUUGCUCUUGCAAUCCAUCAUAAAAUUUUUUUCUCAAACAAAAUAAACGCUUUUUUAAGUUUCAAAGUUUUCAUGUCAAUUGUUUCAUUAUCAAUUUUUAAUAUCCAGAAUGCUUUUGUAGUGAGUGUCUUAGGUUUCACACGGAUCACUAAUGACAAUGUCUCGAGCGUUAAUACUCAUUUAAUGGACGAUAAAGAUUUAUUUAAGGACAUUGAUGAAACUUAAUAAACACACUUAUAUUUUUUCUCGAUUAUUAUUCAAAAUCGAGGUAAAAUAUAUUUCUUGUUAAAUAAAAAAUACAAUAAAAUAUGUUCUAUUCCAAGCACUACAUACCUCUCGGUUUCUGUAAAAAAUCGAGGAAAAACUUUUUUAAUUGACAUUGUUUAAAUAGAAUAUUUAAAUAAAUUGUUUAAACAAAUUCAAAUUUUGAUAGUGGAUUCUUGGAGACCAACAAAUAUUUUCAAAUUUCUGAUAAGUUAUCUAUUCCAACCAAGAGAUUAUUUUUGUACUUGCAAUCCAUCUAAGAGGGAUUUUUUUUGUACUUGCAAUCCAUCUAAGAGAGAUUUUAUUAUCUUGAGCAAAUGUUUUCAUGGCAAAUACUUUGACAUAAAAGAGAACGGGAUAAUUGUGUUUAUGAAUAAACUUCUCAAUAUUGUCAACCAAGGAAAGCAAUAAAUUUUUCAAUGUUUUAUUUGAUUGACAACAUAGUAAGAUUAUUCCAAAAAUACAGCAACAACGUCAACACCAUUAUGUUGUGAUGAAUUGCAAGAGUAGAAAAAGUAUUUUGUUCAAGAUAGAAGAACAUUGAAGUGUAAAAGUCUGGAGCGCCUACAUUUAAAUUAGGUUUUUGAUAAAAUCUAAUUAACAAAUACUUUUAUAAUAAAAUCUAAUAAUCAAAUAUCUCAAUUGUUAAAUAUAACCGAAGGAAUAGAUCAUUAAUUUAAAAAUAUAAAAUAAAAUAAAAGAAAUUAAGACACCAUUUUUAAAGAAAUAAAAAUAUAAACAGUUGUUACUGAUAUUCGAAGCAUGUGAUAUUUAUUAAAAAUAUAUAUUAUUGUGCGUCUUGACCUUUUAACUCGAUUUUUAGUUAAGUGAGAUGAACAUUUUGUUAUAAAAUAUAUUAUUUGUAAUAGUGGUACAAUAAAUUCUCAUGACUCUAUUCUUAAAGGAUCUAAAUUUUGAAAUGUAAUGAUCAAACUUUUGACAAUUAUAGCAUUAAUUUUAAAAUUUGUAAUUCCAUGCGUGUAUGUCUUGCUUCCACAUCCAAGAUGUCGUGAAACACAUCAUCAUCAUCAUUGACCUCUACCUUAACUUUAUUGACAUUUAUCAUUUCAAUAAAUUUCUUCAUUCUUUAAUUUUUCUUUGCAUCUUAAAUAUUUUGUCGGUGAUCUCUUCACCUUGUGGUUCUUCUUGUAAGCUAAUAAUGGUCCCUUAAAUUUUUCUAUUGUCACAUUCUCUAAAUCUUUUAUUUCUUAGAUUAUCAUUACAAUGUACUCAAAUUUUGGUGAUUGACAUGUAACAUUUUGAUUUUCAUGUAGUUUGAUGAAGUGUUUAUGUUCAUAGUCUUUUUUUUCAUGGAUUCAUCAAUUUCGAAUUUUAGAUCUGGAUUUUUUAAAAAGCUUUUUGAUUAUAUAUUAAACUAAUUCUUAAAUAUAGAUACAAUUAAUAAUAAUAUUAAUAUUUUUUAUUAGUUUAUUAACAAGAAGAGAUUAGGAGAGUAUACUUAUUAUUUUUAAUCUUUAUGUUUAUUUACGUAAAAGAAUAAAACAUGUUUGUAUAAUAUUAAUUUUAUACGUAGUAUAUUUUCAGACAUUUAAAAUCAGAAACUCAAAUUAAAGUAAGUCACUACGUAGAUUGAUACAACAAUACAUCAAAAGACAGUGAAUACAGUAUGUAGAUCUAGUACAAGAGGAUAAGACCACAUGUAAGAUGAUCCUAUAUCACUCCCAUUUAGAUUUUAUUCGUAAUAUUAAACUCUCAUAUACUAGUGAGAAGUUUCUAUAUGAUAAUCUUGAAACCGCACCAUCAUCUUCAAAACUUAAUGCUGUCAAUAUAACAAUGGAAAAAACUUGUCAGUACUUAAUUUCAUAUGUUCACAUGCUUCAAAAUAAGAGUGAGAGAGUGUUAUAAUUAAUAGAUGAAGAAAACAAAAACAGUUAAAGCAGUUUUACAGUUAGUUACAUUUUCCAUUUAGUUGGUUAUGCUUUCUGUUAUGCGGUUAGUUACAAUCUCUUUCAACUAUAUAAUUGUUGUAAUCCCCAUUCAAUGCAUAACAGAAUACAGUUCUGCUCUUUAUCUUCUUCCUCUUCACUUUAAGCUUUUCUUACUGUUCUGUCAAUGGCUUUCAUGACAGAAGCAUUUCUUACUGUUCUGUCAAUGGCUUCCAUGACAGAAGCAUAAUAUGGUAUCAUCGUCUUCGAUCCUCUUUCCACACUUCCGCACCGAUCACUUUAAGCUUCUACUUGUGCGAUCCUUCUUUUGAUUUCAGCAUGCCUCCGCGUAUUGAUCCUACCGCAAAUCGAAUCACAAAUUGUGAUGUUGAUUCGGUUUACUAUGUUCAUCCCAGCGAAGGUCCUAAUUCUGUUAGUAUUCAACCUCAAUUGAAUGGUUCGAAUUACAUCUCGUGGUCAAGAUCCAUGGAAAGAGCUCUUGGAGCUAAGAACAAGCUUGCGUUCAUCAACGGAUCCAUUCAAUGGUUCGAAUUACAUCUCGUGGUCAAGAUCCAUGGAAAGAGCUCUUGGAGCUAAGAACAAGCUUGCGUUCAUCAACGGAUCCAUUCGCGUUCCAAGUAUCACCGAUCUUAAUCGAUCUGCGUGGGAACGAUGCAAUUGCCUUGUUAAUUCAUGGAUUCUCAAUUCUGUAAGUCCUGCUAUCGCACAAACCAUUAUUUUCUUGGAAAAUGCUCUUGACGUUUGGAUUGAUCUCAAAGAAAGAUUUGCUAAAACUGAUAGAAUUCGCGUGUCUAAUUUGCGUGUUGAGAUUAACAAUCUCAAACAAGGAAACAAAUUUGUUCUUGAUUAUUUCACUGAACUUCGUGGUUUAUGGGAAGAAUUGAAUUCUCAUAGACCAAUCCCUAGUUGUACUUGUGCUCAACAAUGCAGAUGUGACGCUAUGCAUAGUGCUCGAGAAUUUCGUCUUGAAGAUCAGAUUAUACAAUUUUUAACAGGAUUGAAUGAAAAAAUUUCUGUUAUCAAAACUCAGGUUCUGUUACUAGAUCCUCUACCAUCAAUCAACAAAGUAUAUUCUAUGGUUGUUCAAGAAGAGAACCAUAUUUUUUGUGGUGAGUCAACCUGAUUCUAAUUCAGACUAUUGAUGAAGCAAAUGACUUGUUAAUGCAUAUGAUCAAGGUUAAGUUUGUGGUAAUUCUUCAACUCUUAUGGUGGAGCAUCUAACAAUAAGAAAGAUGGCAGAUAUGCACUUUUUGUCACAGGACGGCCAUCAAUUGAUGUGUGUUAUCAGCAAACAUGGAUUUCUCCCAAUUUUACCAAAAGCAACAACAUCAGCAAUCUAUCAAUGUCUGUGAUACACACAAUAUGAUGAACACUGGAACAGAAGGUUCUCUCAAUAAUCCAACGUGCCAGCAUCACUCAAGAACAGUAUUCUCAAUUGAUUGGUUUGUUACAACAACACAAUUUCCUCCUUCCACCCUACCCCAAUCCAAGUGCCAACCAUAUUUCACUCAUUUUAGAUCAUACACCAAUUGAGAAUUCAGGUAAACUUUUUUGUUUCUACAGUUUCAUGCUCCACUUACAUCAAACCUGCUUUUUGGAUUUUAGAUCUGGUGCCAUGAUCAUGUUUGCUCAUCACUUAAUGUUUAGUUGUUACCAUAAAUCCGCACCUAUCAUGUUUUGUCUACCUAAUGGAUUUGUUGUUAUAGCUAAACAUGCAGGAACAAUCCAUUUUCCCUCACUUGAGCAGUUAAUAAUGUGUAUACACACCUGAUUUUUCCUUAAAUUGUGUCUGUUUUCAAACUCUGUCCAGUCCACUAAUUGCAAAUUCAUUUUUUUCUGCUAAUUGCUUGUUUAUUCAGGAUGUGAAAACGAAGAAAGAUGAUUGGUUCGGCAAAUCAAGUGAGAGGUUGUACAGACUCAGAACAGAUCUGGAUUCCAAUUCCUGCAGAACAGCAUUUCAAGGUAUUUCCUCAUCCAACCUCAUGUAGAAACCUUCAUUCCAAUAAUUGUAAAAUGAUCCCUAAACAAGCUUUGUGGCAUUUUAGAUGUGGCAUUUAUCCAUGAUAGACUAUCCAAAAUGGCCCAAUGUAUCCUGAUAUUUUCAAUGACAGUAAAGUUGUCUGUGAUGUUGUGCACUUGCUAGCAUAAGAAACUACCUACACUUUGAGUCAUUCUAAAGCUUCUCAAAAUUUGAAUUGUUGCAUUUUGAUAUCUGGGUUCUCUCUCCACAAAUUCUAUCCUUCACAAAUAUUUUUGACAGCAGUUGAUAUCACAAGUAAUUUACUUGAUCAUACUUUUUUAAAAAAUCUAAAGUUUCUCACUGUUCAACAAUUUGUUGCUCUCAUAGAAAAUCAUUCCAUACAUGUCCUAAGUUCAUCAGGUCUGACAUGGACCUGGAUUUCUUAAUCAAUUCUAUGCUCAAAGGCAUUCCAUCAGAUCAUGUGUUGAGUCUCCCAACAAAAUGCAAGAGUUGAAGGAAGCAUCAACAUUUGCUAUAUGUAGGUAGACCUUACUGCACAUUCAAAUUUACCUAAAUCCUAUUGGUCUACUAUAGCUAUAGCUGCGCCUUCAUUAUAAUAGAGUUACACCUCUACUCAAAACCAAUCCCCUUAUCACAUACUGCAUAAUAACACCAGACAUUAACCAACUUAAAGUUUUUGGACUUGUGCUAUGCAUCUACCUUGUCCAAUCAAAACUAAUUAAGAUAAGAGCUAGAAAUCAUUGUUCCUUGGAUAUGUUGUUGGUAUAUAGGCUCUAUCUACUUGAUCUAAAUUCAUUCAACAUUUUUAUUUCAAGAAAUGUCACUUACCAUGAACAGAUUUACCUUACCAAAACAGUCUUCAUCUCCACACCUCCUUGGGAAUAUUAUAGCACUUCAGUUCAAUCCAACCUCUGUCAUGAAACAUACUUCUGCUCAAAAUGAUUCUCCAUUCACACCAACUCAACUUCCAGUUACCACAAACUUUUCCUAACCACCACAACUGACUCAAUCCACCUUCCAGCUCCUGGUCAAUUCUAAUCCACCCCACCUCUAUACACAACACUCCACUCGGUGCCUCUACAAGAGUUAGAGCAUUCCCAUCAUUUUUGAAAGAUUAUGUCUGUUACCAACUUCACUGUCACAAUUGCCAUCCAUCUUGUAAUCCUACUCUCUUUCCCAAUUUUCAUUUACAUUUCAUAACUUUGUCUCCUAUCCUAAUCUGCGUUUCACCCAUAGUUCCCUAUACUACCUAAUCAUGAACUAAACAUACUCCGAGCUAGCAAAUUUUGAAAAUGCUUGAAUCAAGCACAUGAAGUUGAAACUUGCUGCAUUGGCCAGAACUGGAACGCUGGAAUUGUGGAUCUCCCCCUGCUUAAACCUCCUUGGUUUGUCGUUGGGUUUAACGAUCAAAGCCUAAAUCUGAUGGGCCAUUAGAAAGGUUUCUAAAAGCUCGGAUCUCGUUGUAAAGCGGAUCGCCUGUCGCCAGACCUGACAAAAUUACAUGUGUGCGAAAAAACACUGGCCGACAAGACAUGACAGGAAGAGUCGACCAACCGCUGCGUGUAUUGUAUCCCAAGGAGGCAGGGAAGGAAACGCUCGAAGUAACUGAAAAGAGGAAAGGGAACAGACAAGGUUCGUAACCAACUCUUGACCCGGGUUCGGGAGCGUGUAUUGAAGGGAAGGUAUUAGCACCCUACGCAUCCGUAGUUACCUUCUACCGGGAUCCACAUUUGUCGUUCUGAUCUAAGGCGUCGUAGUUUAUUUGUGCUGUUUACUAAAAAGGUAAUGAAAAUGACUCGCGCGGAUGUCGCAUCCACUGCAUACGUAUCUCAUCUGAUAUGAGAAUCAGAGUCUUCGUAGCUCGCCUGACCUAUGGGUUGGGUGAUGUGGCUCGCUAGACAUCGCGUCUUAUGCCUACGUAUCUCAUUCGGAAUGAGAAUCAGAGAAGCCGUAGUUCGGCUAACCUACAGGCGGUUAUGGAUUGGGUUUUGGACGAACGACGUUACUACGCAAUCUACCGGAUUGCUCGACCUUGGAGACUUACUCACCUGUAGAUAGAAGGAGUAAACGUUGUGUUUAGGAGAAGAAAAUCAAUGAAGGGUUAGGGUUGGUGAACUCACUUGCAAAAAAGGCAGUCCUUGACGAAGACACCUGUUAAAAAAAACACACAAAACAUUGCCUCCUAUCGAGGUCUUCAGCUAGGAAAGUAGUAAAAAUGCGGGAAAAUGUGAAAGUACCACGCGGAUAAAGAUCCGAUAGUACAACAGUUAGAGGAAUGGGAAAACCAUGGAUCCUUCAGCUCAACACCCAUCAAGAAAUAGUGAGUCAGUACAGGUAUCGGAAUGAACCUCCAGGGGUAUCCACAACAUAAAGUGGAAACCACGCAAGUUAUCCCUGCAAAUCAUGUGAGCCUCACAAAACUCAACAACACGGUUAGAGACAAAAAAUAGGGUUAAUCAAGGGUGCCCCCAAAUCAAAAUGUAACACCAUGAAUCAUGCCAUUAAAUUCCACAAAAGACAUGCAUCAACAGGGUAUCAAAUUCACCCAUAUCCUCAUACAUUUAGAGCAUUCAAUUAAAGGCAUAAAGAUGAUGGAUAUAGGCAACCUAAUUGGAGAGCUUGAUUGAAAUUGAGUUGCACCCGUGAGGUUUACAAACAAUCUUUUAGGUUUAUGUCGAGCAAGUGAUCUGUGCAGUGAGUUCCCUUCAGGGUUGGAGGUUGCUCUGAACUCUGUUAGCUCUUCUCCACUUCUUUUUCCUCAGGUAAUAGGAAUAGAAUCAAUAUUUGUUUCCCUGAAACUCUAGUAUUAUAGCCUAAUGUUGGUAGCUUGUGGCUUUUGAGAGAGAGUCAAGUCUGAGAUUUUCUUUUAUUUUCUUUUUUAUUUUAUUUUAUUUUAAAUAAAGUUCUUGGAUCUAAUUCUGUUGACAUGAUGAAAUGCAAUGUAUCUAAUGUUAAAUGACUAAAAAUGAAUGCAUGCAUGAGGUGUAAUGCGUAUGCUUCCAGAAAAUGAAGGUAAAUUUUGGGAUAUUACAGCAGAUACAACCAGAUUGAAGGACUGAUUACUUAGAUACUUUUCCACCUGUUGCAAGCUCACCACAGUUCGAUUGUUCUAGCUUUAGCUUAAUCCAUAACUUGCAUCUUCACCAACUCGAUGUCAAUAACGCAUUUUUUCACGGUGAUCUGACAUGAGAUGCUUUACAUGUUGAUCCCACCAGGUGUCCAAAGUUCUAAACCUAACCAGGUCUGCAAACUCAUUAAGUCCCUUUAUGGACUAAAGCAGGCAAGCAGACAAUGGUUUGAAAAAUUGACUUCAGUCCUCAAUGCUCAUGGCUACUCUCAAGCACCUUCUGAUCACUCACUGUUUGUUAAACAAACAUCAUCCACCUUUACAAUUUUACUUGUUUGUGUUGAUGAUGUUAUUUUAGCAGGUAACUCUCUACAAGAGUUUCAAACUAUGAAAGAUAUUCUUCAUCAGCUCUUCAAGAUCAAGGACUUGGGCAUCCUCAAAUACUUGUUGGGUUUAGAAGUAGCUCACUCGAAACGUGGUAUCUCCAUUUGCCAAAGAAAAUACUGUCUUGAUCUUCUCAAGGACUCAGGUUUUAUUGGCUCCAAACCAGCAAACACACCAUCUGAUCCAUCACUUAAACUUUGCCAAGAUGAUAGCCCUGCUUAUCACGAUAUUCCAUCUUAUAGACGACUCAUUGGCAGAUUAAUCUACCUCAAUACUACUCGCCCAGAUAUCACGUUUAUCACACAACAACUCAGUCAAUAUCUUUCCAAACCUUCUACUCAACAUUAUACUGCUGCUUGCAGAGUCUUGCAAUAUCUCAAACAAUGUCUAGGCCAAAUAUUAUUUUUUCCACGAAGUUCACCACUACAAGUAACAGGUUUUUCAGAUGCUGACUGGGCUGGCUGUGUAGACACACGUAAAUCUGUUUUCGGAUCAUGUUUCUAUUUGGGCAGCUCUCUUAUUUCAUGGAGAACAAAGAAACAAACCACUGUCUCUCGUUCCUCUUCAGAGGCAGAGUACCGUGCUUUAGCUGCAGCCGCGUGUGAACUCCAAUGGAUCUCGUUCCUCUUCAGAGGCAGAGUACCGUGCUUUAGCUGCAGCCGCGUGUGAACUCCAAUGGCUUUUGUACUUGCUUCGUGACAUGAACAUUGCAUGCUCUCAAGUCCCAGUUCUAUUUUGUGACAGUCAAAGCGCACUCCACAUAGCUGCUAACCCUGUUUUCCAUGAACGUACAAAACAUCUUGAUAUUGAUUGCCACAUUGUACGCAAAAAAGUUUCAGCAGGCAUAUUGAAACUUAUUCUCGUGUCAUCCAACAACCAACUUGCUGAUUUCUUCACUAAACCUCUCCUACCCAAACCAUUUCAUUUCCUCAAAGCCAAGUUGAACUUGAUCAACAUCUACUAAGGUUCAACUUGUGGGGGGCUAAUAGAUGAAGAAAACAAAAACAGUUAAAGCAGUUUUACAGUUAGUUACAUUUUCCAUUUAGUUGGUUAUGCUUUCUGUUAUGAAGUUAGUUACAAUCUCUUCCAACUAUAUAAUUGUUGUAAUCCCCAUUCAAUGCAUAACAGAAUACAAUUCUGCUCUUUAUCUUCUUCCUCUUCACUUUAAGCUUUUCUUACUGUUCUGUCAAUGGCUUCCAUGACAGAAGCAUUCCUUACUGUUCUGUCAAUGGCUUCCAUGACAGAAGCAUAAUAAUAAUAAGACAUAUGUGUUACAGUUGGUAGAGGUACUGAUCUUAUAAGGAAUGCUAACACCGCAAUUUCCAGGGAGAGCAGCAACAUUGUUAGUAUUCAAUUUUGAAAUAGAACCGGCAGCUGAUUUCAAGCAGUUACAGGCAGCCUGACGAUCAGGCGUCGUGGUGGCGGCACCAAGAAGCUUCUUCACUCCUGCACAACAUGGCGGUGGAGGACUGGCAUUAUUAGGAGCUUGAAGAUAAGUAACGCAUGGAGCCAAAUCACCGGUUACAGCUCCACAUGACAAAGCAGCUUCUGCCAUAGGCGCAAUAACUACCAUGCAGAUCACCAAAACAACACAUGCUAACUUCAUGCUUCUUGCCAUUUUUGUUUUCUUUCUUUUCUAUUCUUUUUCUUG
rnacentral:lncRNA from 1 species